GAUGAACGCUAGCGGGAGGCCUAACACAUGCAAGCCGAGCGGUAUUGUUUCUUCGGAAAUGAGAGAGCGGCGUACGGGUGCGGAACACGUGUGCAACCUGCCUUUAUCUAGAGGAUAGCCUUUCGAAAGGAAGAUUAAUACUCUAUAAUAUAUUAAUUGGCAUCACUUAGUAUUGAAAGCUCCGGCGGAUAGAGAUGGGCACGCGCAAGAUUAGAUAGUUGGUGAGGUAACGGCUCACCAAGUCUACGAUCUUUAGGGGGCCUGAGAGGGUGAUCCCCCACACUGGUACUGAGACACGGACCAGACUCCUACGGGAGGCAGCAGUGAGGAAUAUUGGACAAUGGGUGCAAGCCUGAUCCAGCCAUCCCGCGUGAAGGAUUAAGGUCCUAUGGAUUGUAAACUUCUUUUAUACAGGGAUAAACCUCUCCUCGUGAGGAGAGCUGAAGGUACUGUAUGAAUAAGCACCGGCUAACUCCGUGCCAGCCGCCGCGGUAAAAC
rnacentral:rRNA from 1 species